rnacentral:rRNA from 1 species
GACGAACGCUGGCGGCGUGCCUAAUACAUGCAAGUCGAACGAGGGCAACCGGUGCUUGCACUGGUCAAUCUAGUGGCGAACGGGUGAGUAACACGUGGGUAACCUGCCCAUCAGAGGGGGAUAACAUCCGGAAACGGAUGCUAAAACCGCAUAGGUCUUCGAACCGCAUGGUUUGAAGAGGAAAAGAGGCGCAAGCUUCUGCUGAUGGAUGGACCCGCGGUGCAUUAGCUAGUUGGUGAGGUAACGGCUCACCAAGGCCGUGAUGCAUAGCCGACCUGAGAGGGUGAUCGGCCACAUUGGGACUGAGACACGGCCCAAACUCCUACGGGAGGCAGCAGUAGGGAAUCUUCCGCAAUGGACGCAAGUCUGACGGAGCAACGCCGCGUGAGUGAAGAAGGUUUUCGGAUCGUAAAACUCUGUUGUUAGAGAAGAACAAGUGCUAGAGUAACUGUUAGCGCCUUGACGGUAUCUAACCAGAAAGCCACGGCUAACUACGUG